rnacentral:rRNA from 1 species
ACGUACACUCCUACGGGAGGCAGCAGUGGGGAAUUUUGGACAAUGGGCGAAAGCCUGAUCCAGCCAUGCCGCGUGCAGGAUGAAGGCCUUCGGGUUGUAAACUGCUUUUGUACGGAACGAAACGGCCUUUUCUAAUAAAGAGGGCUAAUGACGGUACCGUAAGAAUAAGCACCGGCUAACUACGUGCCAGCAGCCGCGGUAAUACGUAGGGUGCAAGCGUUAAUCGGAAUUACUGGGCGUAAAGCGUGCGCAGGCGGUUAUGUAAGACAGUUGUGAAAUCCCCGGGCUCAACCUGGGAACUGCAUCUGUGACUGCAUAGCUAGAGUACGGUAGAGGGGGAUGGAAUUCCGCGUGUAGCAGUGAAAUGCGUAGAUAUGCGGAGGAACACCGAUGGCGAAGGCAAUCCCCUGGACCUGUACUGACGCUCAUGCACGAAAGCGUGGGGAGCAAACAGGAUUAGAAACCCUAGUAGUCCCA